GAGACACCCUUCUGGGGCAAGACUUGCUUCAGUGGGGCUUUGGUGCUCACUGAGUCUACCUGCUGAAUGUGUCCCU
rfam:Myotis brandtii contig209687, whole genome shotgun sequence.